UGUUUACCGACAUCGAAAGAUGAUGUUUACCGACAUCAAAAAGAAUGACCAGACAUUUACCGAUGACUGGGAAUGAGGAAUUUAUUGGGAAGAGACAAACAAAUAUUUGCCACUGAAAACCAGACAAGACAUUUACCGAUGACUCUACUGGGGAUUUCUGUUGGGGAUUAUCAGACAUUUACCGAUGACUGACAGAAAUACUCGAUGUUUACCGACACCGAA
rnacentral:lncRNA from 1 species